rnacentral:rRNA from 1 species
UACGUAGGGUGCGAGCGUUAAUCGGAAUUACUGGGCGUAAAGCGUGCGCAGGCGGUUUUGUAAGCCAGAUGUGAAAUCCCCGGGCUUAACCUGGGAAUGGCAUUUGGGACUGCAAGGCUCGAGUGCGGCAGAGGAGACUGGAAUUCCUGGUGUAGCAGUGAAAUGCGCAGAUAUCAGGAGGAACACCGGUGGCGAAGGCGGGUCUCUGGGCAGUAACUGACGCUGAGGAGCGAAAGCGUGGGUAGCGAACAGG